rnacentral:rRNA from 1 species
ACCAGACUCCUACGGGAGGCAGCAGUGGGGGAUAUUGCACAAUGGGGGAAACCCUGAUGCAGCAACGCCGCGUGAGUGAAGAAGUAUUUCGGUAUGUAAAGCUCUAUCAGCAGGGAAGAGAAUGACGGUACCUGACUAAGAAGCCCCGGCUAACUACGUGCCAGCAGCCGCGGUAAUACGUAGGGGGCGAGCGUUAUCCGGAUUUACUGGGUGUAAAGGGAGCGUAGACGGCUGGUCAAGUCUGAAGUGAAAGCCCGGGGCUUAACCCCGGAACGGCUUUGGAAACUGAGCAGCUAGAGUGCUGGAGAGGUAAGCGGAAUUCCUAGUGUAGCGGUGAAAUGCGUAGAUAUUAGGAGGAACACCAGUGGCGAAGGCGGCUUACUGGACAGUAACUGACGUUGAGGCUCGAAAGCGUGGGGAGCAAACAGGAUUAGAUACCCCCGUAC